CUUUUUUUUUUUUUUUUUACUACAGCAGUGCUCUAAAUAAUCGCAUAUGAUGUAACUGUAGCAUCACUUGUCAAAUUUUAUACAUCAGCCAAAUACUUUUUGCAUCCUUGAUAUAUAGGCUUUAGAAUUUUCUGAAUGUAUAGAAUGUGCUGGGAAAGACUUAAUUAUAUGGUCAUUUUUGUGAAACUGACUCGCAGUAAUUACAUUAUGUUAUAUUUCCUGUAA
rnacentral:misc_RNA from 1 species